rnacentral:sRNA from 1 species
GAUUAGGUGCGUGAGGGAUAGAAGCGGCAUCCUUUUGCGAAGCAAAAGAUAAAGCGUAUAGCCCGACCUGUU